ensembl:snRNA U6 U6 spliceosomal RNA
AUGCUUGCUUUGGCAGCAUAUUUACUGAAAAAAAAAAUUGAAUGAUACAAAGAUUAGCAUUGCCCAUGUGGAAGGAUGACACACAAAUUUGUGAAGCAUUCCAUAUUUGC